rnacentral:rRNA from 1 species
UACGAAGGGGGCUAGCGUUGUUCGGAUUUACUGGGCGUAAAGGGCGCGUAGGCUGUGCUGUAAGUCAGGCGUGAAAGCCCCGGGCUCAACCUGGGAAUUGCGCUUGAUACUGCGGCGCUGGAAGGUGGGAGAGGAUGGCGGAAUUCCCAGUGUAGAGGUGAAAUUCGUAGAUAUUGGGAAGAACACCGGUGGCGAAGGCGGCCAUCUGGCCCAUUUUUGACGCUGAGGCGCGAAAGCGUUGGGGAGCAAACAGG